UACGAAGGGUCCAAGCGUUGUUCGGAAUUACUGGGCGUAAAGCGCGCGUAGGCGGGCUUGUAAGUUGAUUGUGAAAUCCCUGGGCUUAACCUGGGAACUGCAGUCAAUACUGCAAGUCUUGAAUGUCUGAGAGGAUGGCGGAAUUCCCGGUGUAGUAGUGAAAUACGUAGAUAUCGGGAAGAACACCUGAGGCGAAGGCGGCUAUCUGGCGGUACAUUGACGCUGAGGCGCGAAAGCGUGGGGAGCAAACAGG
rnacentral:rRNA from 1 species